AUUGAACGCUGGCGGCAGGCCUAACACAUGCAAGUCGAGCGGCAGCGGAAAGUAGCUUGCUACUUUGCCGGCGAGCGGCGGACGGGUGAGUAAUGUCUGGGAAACUGCCUGAUGGAGGGGGAUAACUACUGGAAACGGUAGCUAAUACCGCAUAAUGUCGCAAGACCAAAGAGGGGGACCUUCGGGCCUCUUGCCAUCAGACGGGCCCAGCGGGGAUUAGCUAGUAGGUGGGGUAACGGCUCACCUAGGCGACGACCCCUAGCUGGUCUGAGAGGAUGAACAGCCACACUGGAACUGAGACACGGUCCAGACUCCUACGGGAGGCAGCAGUGGGGAAUAUUGCACAAUGGGCGCAAGCCUGAUGCAGCCAUGCCGCGUGUAUGAAGAAGGCCUUCGGGUUGUAAAGUACUUUCAGCGGGGAGGAAGGUGUUGUGGUUAAUAACCACAGCAAUUGACGUUACCCGCAGAAGAAGCACCGGCUAACUCCGUGCCAGCAGCCGCCGCAG
rnacentral:rRNA from 1 species